GGUAAAAUGACCGAGCAUUAGGUAUUAAAUUGUAAAUUUAACAACGAGGAUUAAUCUUCUUUUACCA
rnacentral:tRNA from 1 species